UACGAAGGGGGCUAGCGUUGCUCGGAUUGACUGGGCGUAAAGGGCGCGUAGGCGGUUCGUACAGUCAGACGUGAAAUUCCUGGGCUCAACCUGGGGGCUGCGUUUGAUACGUGCGGACUUGAGUGCGGAAGAGGGUCGUGGAAUUCCCAGUGUAGAGGUGAAAUUCGUAGAUAUUGGGAAGAACACCGGUGGCGAAGGCGGCCCACUGGUCCGGUACUGACGCUGAGGUGCGAAAGCGUGGGGAGCAAACAGG
rnacentral:rRNA from 1 species